CGAUGCGCCGCUGCUUCCCGGAAUGUGAAUGGGAGGCUCACUGCUUUUCGCCUGACCUUCACUAAAACUCUACAAAGUUAGAGUUGCUGAUCAAAUAGAAGAUAUGUCCCCAUACUCACUCACCGGGGAGACUGUGAGCGCUCCCUUCCAGGCAGCUGGGGAUUCGCUGCAGAGCUAGACGUUCUCGGACCAGCCUGGUAACCACCGCUCAGGGAGCCGUGGGGUUUCCAGCGUGUCCGAUCAGAGCGAAACGGCGGACUCGAUCUGAGAAACGCGUGUUUUCAUCUGCAGCUGUGCUGUCAUGGAUCAGGGAAAACAUGCGGAGUAGCAUUAUGUCUAAGUACUUGAGCCCCAGGUACUGUGGACUUGGACUCCAAGAAGCAGACAGAGAAAACAUGAAUGCACUUACGGGGCACGUGUGAUGAAGGGACAAAGGACCGGGGACAGACACACGCGCGCUCACAGAUACAUUGUGCGGAUCAUGGACUUUCUGCCUCUCAGCUCCAAGUUCACCCAUUUUUGCCUGCUCUGUGAGAAGGGAUGUGUAUCCUUUAUCUACCUGUGCCCUGCCAGCUCCAGGCAGCUCUCUUCUCUCUGUGGCUCUGUUCUUUGAGCUU
rnacentral:lncRNA from 1 species